rnacentral:rRNA from 1 species
UGACGGGGGCCCGCACAAGCAGUGGAGCAUGUGGUUUAAUUCGACGCAACGCGCAGAACCUUACCAGGACUAGACGGGAUCGUGAGCGCCGCGAAAGCGGCGGGCGGCUUCGGCCGAGCGAUCGUCAGGUGCUGCAUGGUUGUCGUCAGCUCGUGUCGUGAGAUGUUGGGUUAAGUCCCGCAACGAGCGCAACCCCUGUCGUGUGUUGCCAGCGGUUCGGCCGGGCACUCACGCGAGACAGCCGGGGACGACCCGGAGGAAGGUGGGGAUGACGUCAAAUCCGCAUGGCCUUUAUGUCCUGGGCUACACACGUGCUACAAUGGCCGCGACAAUGGGUCGCUACGACGCGAGUCGAUGCUAACCCCCAAACGCGGUCUCAGUUCGGAUUGCAGGCUGCAACCCGCCUGCAUGAAGCCGGAAUUGCUAGUAAUCGCGGAUCAGCAUGCCGCGGUGAAUCCGUUCCCGGGCCUUGUACACACCGCCCGUCACACCACGAGAGUUGGCCACACCCGAAGCCGGGCCCGCGAACCUUUCGAGGACGCGGCCGUCGACGGUGGGGUUGGUAAUUGGGGUGAAGUCGUAACAAGGUAGCCGUAUCGGAAGGUGCGGCUGGAUCACCUCCUUU